UUUAACGGCCGCGGUAUCCUAACCGUGCAAAGGUAGCGUAAUCACUUGUCCCUUAAAUAGGGACCAGUAUGAACGGCUAAAUGAGGAUAAGUCUGUCUCCUUUAACAAAUCAGUGAAACUGAUCCACCAGUACAAAAGCUGGUAUAACCCCAUAAGACGAGAAGACCCUGUGGAGCUUUAAAUUUAACCCAAGCAACCAAACACAAAUUUGCCUUAUGGCUAAAAAUUUUAAGUUGGGGCGACUUCGGAAAAAAACCCAACUUCCGAGCAUAAGACUAUGUCAAACCAAGACCUACAAGUCGAAACYUAAACUGACCCCGUAACMCUGACAACCGAACCAAGUUACCCCAGGGWUAACCGCGCAUUCUUCUUCAAGAGUUCUUAUCGACAAGAAAGCUUACGACCUCGAUGUUGGAUCAGGACACCCCAAUGGUGAGCCGCUAUUAAAAG
rnacentral:rRNA from 1 species